rnacentral:rRNA from 1 species
GACGAACGCUGGCGGCGUGCUUAACACAUGCAAGUCGAACGGAAAGGCCCUGCUUUUGUGGGGUGCUCGAGUGGCGAACGGGUGAGUAACACGUGAGUAACCUGCCCUUGACUUUGGGAUAACUUCAGGAAACUGGGGCUAAUACCGGAUAGGAGCUCCUGCUGCAUGGUGGGGGUUGGAAAGUUUCGGCGGUUGGGGAUGGACUCGCGGCUUAUCAGCUUGUUGGUGGGGUAGUGGCUUACCAAGGCUUUGACGGGUAGCCGGCCUGAGAGGGUGACCGGCCACAUUGGGACUGAGAUACGGCCCAGACUCCUACGGGAGGCAGCAGUGGGGAAUAUUGCACAAUGGGCGGAAGCUUGAUGCAGCAACGCCGCGUGCGGGAUGACGGCCUUCGGGUUGUAAACCGCUUUCGCCUGUGACGAAGCGUGAGUGACGGUAAUGGGUAGAGAAGCACCGGCUAACUACGUG